rnacentral:tRNA from 1 species
CGGACCGUAGCUCAACCUGGAUAGAGCACUACCUUGGGGUGGUAGGGGUUGCUGGUUCAAAUCCAGUCGGUCCGACCA